UACGUAGGGGGCUAGCGUUGUCCGGAAUUACUGGGCGUAAAGCGCACGCAGGCGGUCUGAUAAGCGGAGGGUGCAAUCUCGAGGCUCAACCUCGGAACCGCUCGCCGAACUGUCAGACUGGAGCACGGGAGAGGGCAGUGGAAUUCCCGGUGUAGCGGUGGAAUGCGUAAAUAUCGGGAGGAACACCAGUGGCGAAGGCUGCUGCCUGGAACGUUGCUGACGCUGAGGUGCGAAAGCCAGGGGAGCAAACGGGAUUAGAUACCCGGGUA
rnacentral:rRNA from 1 species